rnacentral:ncRNA from 1 species
CCGUUCAACUCGUUCCGGCUCCGAUCGGGACUACGGGAG